rnacentral:rRNA from 1 species
ACUCAAAUGAAUAGACGGGGGCCCGCACAAGCGGAGGAACAUGUGGUUUAAUUCGAUGAUACGCGAGGAACCUUACCCGGGCUCGAACGCAGGAGGAAUGCGGGGGAAACUCUGCAGUCGCAAGACCGCCUGCGAGGUGCUGCAUGGUUGUCGUCAGCUCGUGCCGUGAGGUGUCGGCUUAAGUGCCAUAACGAGCGCAACCCUUAUUGUUAGUUGCCAGCGAGUAGUGUCGGGGACUCUAGCAAAACUGCCUGCGUAAGCUGUGAGGAAGGUGGGGAUGACGUCAAAUCAGCACGGCCCUUACGUCCGGGGCGACACACGUGUUACAAUGGGAGGUACAGAAGGUUGCUACCACGCGAGUGGAUGCUAAUCCUCAAAACCUUUCUCAGUUCGGAUCGAAGUCUGCAACUCGACUUCGUGAAGUUGGAUUCGCUAGUAAUCGCGCAUCAGCCAUGGCGCGGUGAAUACGUUCCCGGGCCUUGUACACACCGCCCGU